AUGCGCCAAAAUUCAAACACACCCGCGCUAACGGCAGAGUCUGAGCAAUGGCUGCGGCUAAACAAACAGUCAUCUGCAGUAAGAUGUUUUUCUUAGUGGAAGGAUAACAAAUGUGCCAGUACCUUCACAUAAUAAACGACAAUGAUUUUAUAGACGGGCACGAAGACAGACCGACAUCACUGAGUGGAGUGGAUGAAACGCCUUUGAAUGUGGCAGCGGUGCAGGUAAUGAGUCCCGACAUUCUCAGAAAAUAGAAAUGGAGGCCGAACCUGCAGAUGUGGAUGGCAGUGAUGUGAAUGAUGGAGCAUCUACACAGAAAAGAUGCUGGAAUCCAGAAAUUUCUUCACCUGGGGCCUACUGGGGAUGGCAAUAAACAAAAAACUAACCAAGCUGUGGGAAUACAAACCUGUAGACCUUUAGCUGAACCACUACAAUUGAUGUUCUGUUUCUUAUGCCUGUUCAGUGUUUUGAUCAGUUAUAUAUGUAAUUGUUUCUUUUUUGUCCUGUUUGAUUGUGCAGGUCAGUAACUUUUUUUUUCUAUUUAAAUAAAUUCUGUUUAAAUAAAGAUGCUUCUUUGUGUAACUUUCUGUACCAUUUAACAUUUAAGGCUAAAGGUGUGAAAUGUGCAAUGCACUGCAACUUUGUAGAGUGUCUUACACAUGUCUACAACCUCUAUUUAAAGAUCAAAGAUCACAUAUUAAAAUAUUAAAUAUAUGAUACCAUAUAUUUCAUGCAUAUAUGUCUAAUUUGUAUACAACAUAAUAAAAACAUACAUAUAUCUCACAUAUAUUAAUAAUUAU